ACUUUGCGGCUGCGGAUGAGCACGAUGCGCGGCGUGUCGUACUCGAACAGGAAGGCCGCCAGCGCGGCGCAGCAGCCCGCCAUGGCCGCGCCGCCCGCUCCCAGUCCCCUAGUCGGUCUGGGUCCCAGUCCCCGCUCGGAGCCCCGCCCAGUCCGCCUGGCCUGCUGGCGGCGCCGUCAUCGCGGAGGAGGGCCCGGAAGGAGGCAGCACGGGCGGUCGGGGCCCGGGGCCCGGGGGAGGGCGCCACCUCCCCGUCGGGAACGAUGACCCUCUAGGGGGCAUGGAACUCGCGGGGGGGGAGUGGCCUCGCCCUUGAGGACGAAAGGCUCCUUCAAAAGGCGGGCGAGGGGCCGGGGGCGGUGGCUCACACCUGUCAUCCCAGCACUUGCGGAGGCCGAGGUGACUGGAACUGAUUUGACAUAACCAUCGUAUGCAUGGAGAAGCUGAGAACAGUAAUCUGCAGAAGCAAAAGUAUGAAACAGCCGGGCAAAGAUGCACAGAGGGGUCAAAGCAUCGUAGAACCACAGAUGUGAAAGAACUGCGGAGAGGACGUUCUCCAGGAGGGACAUCAUUAACUCAACCCGGGCGAGAGACUAGGCUUUGACCAGGCUUUCCAACCCACGCAGCUUCAGCUUCCAUCAAGCCCAUCCUAACCACAACGAACACAAGGCAAGGCAAACAAGCAAAACAUAAUAAAGAUCAGAGAGAACACAGAAAGACUGUGGAUUCUGCU
rnacentral:lncRNA from 10 species